UACGGAGGGGGCAAGCGUUGUUCGGAAUUACUGGGCGUAAAGGGCGCGUAGGCGGCACUGGUAGUCAGGCGUGAAAGUCCUGGGCUCAACCUGGGAACUGCGCUUGAUACGGCAGAGCUAGAGGAUGGAAGAGGCUCGCGGAAUUCCCAGUGUAGAGGUGAAAUUCGUAGAUAUUGGGAAGAACACCGGUGGCGAAGGCGGCGAGCUGGUCCAUUACUGACGCUGAGGCGCGACAGCGUGGGGAGCAAACAGG
rnacentral:rRNA from 1 species